rnacentral:tRNA from 1 species
GCCCCUGUAGUUCAGUGGAUAGAGCGCCCGUUUCUUAAGUAGGAAGUUGUAGGUUCGAUCCCUACUUGGUGUG